ensembl:lncRNA
CCAAAUGCCAAAAAAUAAAUUUAAAGGGCAAAAGGACCCAAGACAGUACCUGCACACACUAGAUACUCAGUUUUUGUUUUUUUUUAAUUGGAUUAUAGUUGAUUUACAAUGUUGUGUUAGUUUCAAAUGUACAGCAAUGUGAUUUAGUUAUACAUCUAAUAUACAUUAUUUUUCAGAUUCUUUUCCCUCCCACAUUAUUACAAAAUAUUGAUUAUAUUUCCCUGCGCUAUACAGUAGGUCUUUGUUGCUUAUCUACUGUAUAUAUAGUAGUGUGUAUCUGUUCAUCUCAAACUCUGAAUUUAUCCUCACCCCUACUAAGUUUUGUCUUUUUUGUUUUGUUUUUCUUUCUGCCCAGCACCUGCAAGAGCACAGUGGCCAAGGCUGGAACAAUUUGAACAAUCAAAUAAAGCAGUAUUAGGUUAUAAGCCAAAAUAUACAAUAAAUAACGUCUGUUUGUAUUGAUAUCAAUAAAUAUUGAAUGAAUGAAUACAUGGGCACUAAUAGGUGUAUUUGUAAUAGCCAAGACAUGGAAGCAACCUGAAUGUCCACUGACAGACACAUGGAUAACAGAGAAGUGGUAACAUACACAAUGGACCAUUACUCGGCUAUAAAAAAGAACAAAAUAAUGCCAUUUGCAGCAGCGUGGAUGGACCUAGAGAUUAUCAUACUAAAUGAAGUAAAGGAAUUAAAAUACUGGGAAAGAAAUACAGUGCUGGUGAGAUAAUUGGGAAUUUAAAGGGCUUUUUUGUUACUAAGUAUAUUAUACUAUCUCUUGAACUUUUAUUGGAUCCAAGAAAGAUCUUUAUGAGUGAGGAAGCAUUUGAUGAAAGAUAUAGAAAUCUUAGACAUAAUUAGGCCCAAGGUUUGUAAACUGGGAAAAUUUGUGUAACUUCAAGUAUGCAAAUUCCUGCCUGAG